rnacentral:rRNA from 1 species
UACGGGGGGGGCAAGCGUUGUUCGGAAUUACUGGGCGUAAAGGGCUCGUAGGCGGCCAACUAAGUCAGACGUGAAAUCCCUCGGCUUAACCGGGGAACUGCAUCUGAUACUGGAUGGCUCGAGUUUGGGAGAGGGAUGCGGAAUUCCAGGUGUAGCGGUGAAAUGCGUAGAUAUCCGGAAGAACACCGGUGGCGAAGGCGGCCUGCUGGGCUAUGGCUGACACUGAGGCGCGACAGCGUGGGGAGCAAACAGG